UAGCACACGUACGUCUCAGAUACGUAUCUGCGAGGUAAUCACUCAGAUUUCCAUUCCGUCUGGAAAACGUAUUAUAAAGGUCGUUUGCCCAUAUGAAUUACGUAUCUGAGACGUACGAGCCCAGCCGUUUUGAAGACGCUUUUAAGAUCUUUUCAAGACGCUUGAUAUUUAGAAUGAUGGUUAGCAGAUGUUUCUAAGAUAUUUCCAAGAUGUUUCUUAGAUCUUUAAAAGAUCUUUAUAAGAGCUUUAAUCGAGCUCUUUCUAAGAUGUUUCUGAGAGCUUUAAAAGACGAUUAAAAGAUCAUUAAAAAUAAAUUGCUCUAAACUACAUAUUCUACACAGUUAUACACACAUAUUAUUACAAUAUAUCAUUGACAACAAUUAAAACAGUAUUUUCAAUAAAACAGGCAGUUGAUUGCGUAAAAUUUAUUAAAAUUAGACAAAGGAAAACAUUCAUAAGAUGCAUAUUUACACGAGUGUAUGCAAAAAAGCAACGUUUUUCUAUAACAUACAAAGAAACACAAUAUCUUUAAAUUAAUCAAAUGCUUCCUCGGGCAAAGAACAUCUUUUCCCGAUUUUCCGCGUCUCCUUCAGUGCUAGACGGACGGAUUCUUCAUCUGCAGCAGCUGCAUUCUAAAAGAAACCAUUACAAAAAUAAGGAAAAAUUAAUUUUACAAACUAUGUCAUAUGUUUUCUUUGUUUCCUCAAUAUAACUCUGAUUAGAAUGUCAAACAAAGAUAAAUUCAUCCGUAUUAAUCGUCAAUAUCGUGUAUAUUAUUAAUAUGAGCGUCUUUGCGUUAAAUUCGUGCUACACCACACCAUGCACUUAUAUCGACGUCGCAAUGCAAAAGAAGAAGGGCAAGAAAGAAACCUGUCCUGGUCUGGCGAUUUAAGGGAACAUUUGUUUAAGCCUGUCUAGAUCUUUUAUCAGUCUAGAAAGAUGUUGGAGAAAAGACAUCAUCCUCUUCUAUAAUCUCCAUCUGUAAUUGGACUAACAACUGGACCAGUGAAUGCAGGCAACUUACUCUCCAUUCGACCUUGCAGGUCACACCAUGGUCUCAAGAGGGAAAAUGAGUGCUCUAUGGAUUGAACAGAAAAGAUUAAUCAAAACUCCAACCAUCUGUAUGAGGGUCUGGAUGGAUAAAGGAUGCCCACUGGAGCUGGAAAUGAUGGAUCAGGUGGAUCCACACUUGAACCAUCUGUAUGAUGAUCUGCACCCACUGGAUCUGUAAAUGGUGGUGCAGGUUUCUGAAUUGAUGUCAGAUGCAAAGCAGAAGCUUAUUUUCUGCCAGUUUGGCUUCAUUGUGGAAAAAUGCUUGAAACUAAAAUGCAGAAUUCUGGCCUGGUGUUUGGUCCCCCUUUCUCUGGCUUGUGUCUCCAUCAUCAUUACACUCUUGUCAGUGUAAUAGUAUCGUCGUCUGCGUACCAGGACUUUGUUACUCAGCUGUCCCUUCUCCUUCAAGCU